GAGUUUGAUCAUGGCUCAGAUUGAACGCUGGCGGCAGGCCUAACACAUGCAAGUCGAACGGUAACAGGAAACAGCUUGCUGUUUCGCUGACGAGUGGCGGACGGGUGAGUAAUGUCUGGGAAACUGCCUGAUGGAGGGGGAUAACUACUGGAAACGGUAGCUAAUACCGCAUAACGUCGCAAGACCAAAGAGGGGGACCUUCGGGCCUCUUGCCAUCAGAUGUGCCCAGAUGGGAUUAGCUAGUAGGUGGGGUAACGGCUCACCUAGGCGACGAUCCCUAGCUGGUCUGAGAGGAUGACCAGCCACACUGGAACUGAGACACGGUCCAGACUCCUACGGGAGGCAGCAGUGGGGAAUAUUGCACAAUGGGCGCAAGCCUGAUGCAGCCAUGCCGCGUGUAUGAAGAAGGCCUUCGGGUUGUAAAGUACUUUCAGCGGGGAGGAAGGGAGUAAAGUUAAUACCUUUGCUCAUUGACGUUACCCGCAGAAGAAGCACCGGCUAACUCCGUGCCAGCAGCCGCGGUAAUACGGAGGGUGCAAGCGUUAAUCGGAAUUACUGGGCGUAAAGCGCACGCAGGCGGUUUGUUAAGUCAGAUGUGAAAUCCCCGGGCUCAACCUGGGAACUGCAUCUGAUACUGGCAAGCUUGAGUCUCGUAGAGGGGGGUAGAAUUCCAGGUGUAGCGGUGAAAUGCGUAGAGAUCUGGAGGAAUACCGGUGGCGAAGGCGGCCCCCUGGACGAAGACUGACGCUCAGGUGCGAAAGCGUGGGGAGCAAACAGGAUUAGAUACCCUGUAGUCCACGCCGUAAACGAUGUCGACUUGGAGGUUGUGCCCUUGAGGCGUGGCUUCCGGAGCUAACGCGUUAAGUCGACCGCCUGGGGAGUACGGCCGCAAGGUUAAAACUCAAAUGAAUUGACGGGGGCCCGCACAAGCGGUGGAGCAUGUGGUUUAAUUCGAUGCAACGCGAAGAACCUUACCUGGUCUUGACAUCCACGGAAGUUUUCAGAGAUGAGAAUGUGCCUUCGGGAACCGUGAGACAGGUGCUGCAUGGCUGUCGUCAGCUCGUGUUGUGAAAUGUUGGGUUAAGUCCCGCAACGAGCGCAACCCUUAUCCUUUGUUGCCAGCGGUCCGGCCGGGAACUCAAAGGAGACUGCCAGUGAUAAACUGGAGGAAGGUGGGGAUGACGUCAAGUCAUCAUGGCCCUUACGACCAGGGCUACACACGUGCUACAAUGGCGCAUACAAAGAGAAGCGCCCUCGCGAGAGCAAGCGGACCUCAUAAAGUGCGUCGUAGUCCGGAUUGGAGUCUGCAACUCGACUCCAUGAAGUCGGAAUCGCUAGUAAUCGUGGAUCAGAAUGCCACGGUGAAUACGUUCCCGGGCCUUGUACACACCGCCCGUCACACCAUGGGAGUGGGUUGCAAAAGAAGUAGGUAGCUUAACCUUCGGGAGGGCGCUUACCACUUUGUGAUUCAUGACUGGGGUGAAGUCGAAACAAGGUAACCGUAGGGGAACCUGCGGUUG
rnacentral:rRNA from 1 species